UCUCCGCUCGCUCCCUCUUUAGCGCCUGGCGCCAGGCAGAGUCACGGAUACGGACCACAGGAAGGACGCGCCACUCUCCGCCGCCAUACGCGGGGAACUAGCCCCAGCCGUUACCAUGGGCAAUGGGUGGGGCAAAAAGCGGCGCCCGGUCCGCAUUGGCCAGCUCUAGUGGCGGCUGUGGCCAAUCACCGCGCACCCCUGCGGCAGGUCCGGCCCCUGUCAGCAGGGCGCGAUGCUCUCAGCCGGCGGCGCCAGCGAGGACGGGACCGGACGACGCCGAAGCGAAUGAGUGCGCUCGAGAGCAGGACGCUGUUUCUAGUAUGUUAGGACCGGAGGAGAUGGCGCCUACCCUCUCGCACGUUAUUGGCUACUGCGCCUGUCACUCAUACCCCUAUCUCUCCCUAGUCUCGUUCACUCCGGGCAGCGCCAUCUAUCGGCCGUACUGCGCAUGUGCACAGUAUGCAGGUGGGGCUGGCAGUGAAGGCGAAAGCGAGUUUCUGUUGGGCGCGUGACCGAAUCCCAGGGGGCCGCGGUGCUGUUAUUGCCCCGCCCCCUCUUCACACCCAGCCGCACAUGCUGGACAGUCUGAAUUAUCCAUGACAUCCAAACUGCAUCACAUGAAGUCCAAAUCAUUAGAGGAAUGCCUCUGCUUGCACUGACCAGAGGAUGUUUGGAUUCUGAUGUCAGCCCAGUUCUGCAGCUUGACAGGAAUCAGGUGUUGUCCCCGGUGUACAUAAAAUUCUUCUUUGCAGCCAAACUAGUCUAACCUGCCUUUUGUUAACUGGAACUGGAGCAAUAAAACAAAGAAAAUAAAUGCCUCAUUUUCCAGCUUUGUGGGUGAGGGAACAAUAAGUGAAGAUGAUAAUGCUGGAAACUGACAGGCUUCAACCAGCUGCCUCAGGAAUCUGCCAAGAACUUUGCUGAAAAUAUGUUCCUCAUCUUAGCAACGGAGCUGACUUAUCACACAUCUGCCCACCUUUAUUCGAAUGACGCUCUUGAUCUGAGAGCUCAGGCCUUGUCAGUUUCAUCCAGAACAAUUUACAAACUUGGAACCUAAUCCUGUAAACCCUUAAUCAUUCGAUCAAUCCCAUUGAAGACAAAUGGGACUACUUGCAUGACUAUGGACAACUUUUGUGAACGGGACUGGCCAUAUCCAGAGAGAUGGUGGCAGGCUGUGGUGCUGGAACAUGCCAGGUCAUCAUCACCAUUCCCAUGGAGAUGCUGAAAAUCCAACUACAGGAAUCAGGGAGAGUAGGUCGGAGCACCGUUCAGUGGUUGGGAAAGAUCAUCGAGAAGUAGCAGCUUUGGUAUGAGACUUCUUGAGUGCAGGCCAGUUCCUGUAAGAAGGUGAUUUGGGUGGUGGCCAUGACCAGAUUCUCCAGCCUCAUCUGAACUGAGGAUGAAGAACUAGAUCUGAAACUUCAGGAAGAGUGCCAGGAAAUAAGUAAGCUUGACAUUUCCGGCUUCGUUUCAGCAUCUCAACAGCUUGUGAGUGGAAUCCACUGUUCAAGUUCUGGCUGCAAACUUGUAGCUGUCAGCUCUCCCCUGACUAGAGCAUACAACAUUGGACCUGCUGCACUUACAAACAGAUUAUCUGCUACACACAUAGCAGAUGCACUUCUGCAUACGCAAGGCAUUAAGGGACUCUACAGGAGUCUUGGAGCCAUUUUAUUGAGGGAUGUUUCCUUCUCCAUCAUCUACUUUCCAUUAUUUGCACAUUUGAACAGAGGAGGACAGGAGUCUCUGGAUGACAGAGCCCCAUUUUAUCAGUUAUUUCUAGCUGGUUAUAUGGCUGGCUCUGUGGCAGCAGUCUGUGUCAAUCCGUGUGAUGGAAAAUUUGAUGGAAGGAGGGUCCCUCUGCCUUCCUGAGAGGGGCUGGCUACAGAGCAUUAGUCACUGCUCCUCUCUUUGGUAUCCCAAGUCAUUUACUUUAUUGGAGUAGGGGAGUUCCUUGUUGAGCUUUCCCAAUAUGGCAGAUUUUCAUCCUAACUCCUCAUGCCAUGGACAUGUUGGACCAGAACCUGCAAGAAUCAUCGAUAUAGAGAGGACCCAAGAAACAAAUGGCAACUCAGAUUGAUUUACUUACAUUCUUAGUGAAUCUGGGGUUCCCUGAAUACACUGUUACUAAUCAACUAAAUUUAAUGGAAAGUUGGGACAACGUAUCCCCUGGGCUGCUGCUCAGUGUUGCACCCCAGCUUGGGGAUGCUGUACGUCUCCUUUUCAUGGCAUUUUCUAUUAUCCUUUUGCACCAAGAGUCAGACUUGUGACACCAACAACCAGUGCAGUACAGGAGUCUGCAUAUUGUUAGUGUAUGAGAAUGUCUCCCAGUGCUAAGGGUUCUAAGAGAUAUAAAUCUCUAUAUGUGAAACGACCAUUGCUGCUUUACUGAAUUUUGUGUACUUUUCAGAGGGUAGCGUGAUCAGACAUUGGGGUAGUUGAUUUGGAACUUCAGUAGGUGGUGGAAUUUAAUGGGGCAGGUUAAAGACUUCAGUCUUACAUGGAGGUUAAGGACAUGCUGUUGAAGGAAUAUAUAUAUAUAUAUAUUUAAUGAAGGGAACAUGAACAUCACAUUUUCUAAUGGGUUUGGAGCCAAGUCUUUCUCUAUUAGCUGCACUUGAUUAUCCAGCUACCGGACUAGAAAGGUCUGUCUUGGUAUUUCUCUUUGUUCUCUGUUCCAUCAAUGCUGUUUCAUUAAUUCACUCUUUACAAUUAAUUGGGAACAGAAGGCUAUGGCUUAUAAAAAGUCAUAGUUUACAACUUGGAGCAUUUCCUUGUAAAGAAGGUGGUUGCUUUGGUGACUGCUAAAAACAGAAGCCAUUUCAGACCAUACAUGCAUAGUAGGCAAACUAUCCUAGAUAGGCACUCAGUCUGAAAUUCAUCCUGUACAAGGCCUACUUAUCACUUACAAUAUGGGUUCUAGAGUGAGCCCCGAAUGGAUUUUGUAUGCUCAUAAACCCUAAUUGUUCAGCAGAGACAUAGGUGCUACUUGAACUUGAUAGCAUAACUCACUCCAUACUUGAACUUCUCAGCAAUAAAAGACCAGUUCUUCCCUCAAACAAACAUACAGUGCAACCACUGAAUUUGCUAGGAGCUGCACCUGAGGAUAAAACAGGAUCAGGAGUUUUUAACCAUGUUCAAAUAUUACCUUUGAUUAUAUUUAGCCAGUUCUUCUCCUUGGCAGUGAGCUCAUGUAAUGGCUGAUCCCAGUUUUUUCUUCGUUGUUGUUUGCAACAAACCAGGAAUAAACUGAUCAGUAUCUUUGGCCCCUUCCCCAAAUCCACUGUGUGCAGUCUGCAAUUUAAAUGUAUAUGGUGCAAGGAAAGCUUGAAGCCCUCUAUGACAUUAAUGGCAACUUUGUAGAAGCCAUCCGUACCCUGUGCCUGCCAUACCACCUUGCAGUAAAAGCUAGUGAUCCUUCUGUAUUAAUGAGGCAUAUUUUUUCUUUGCUGCAGCCCUGCGUGGCCCUCGCACAGUCCUUGGAUAAGUGAAAGGAGUGAGAUUGGCUUGGGCAGAGGAGAGAAGGGACUGAAUGGCCCUC